rnacentral:lncRNA from 1 species
UACUCAUACCUUGAGACAGCUGACAGGGAGCUGCCUCGUAACCUCUCUUUCUGACCAGACCAUUCUAGCCAAAGCCAUGCAGUUAUCCAGAUGAUUCAGACAGAAAGUCCUUACUCAGGUUCCAGAAAGGCUAACAAGAAGUUGCGGCAGACAAAAAGAACAGCUGGAUCAUGCAUCUUUCAAAUGGGAAAAACUUGUACCCUUAAUCACAGAUGAACCCGUGAGGAAAUACUAUAGAAAAGAUUGAACUUAUCCUUUCA